AUUGAACGCUGGCGGCAGGCCUAACACAUGCAAGUCGAACGAGUGGCGGACGGGUGAGUAAUGUCUGGGAAACUGCCUGAUGGAGGGGGAUAACUACUGGAAACGGUAGCUAAUACCGCAUACCAUCGGAUGUGCCCAGAUGGGAUUAGCUAGUAGGUGGGGUAAAGGCUCACCUAGGCGACGAUCCCUAGCUGGUCUGAGAGGAUGACCAGCCACACUGGAACUGAGACACGGUCCAGCCUCCUACGGGAGGAACAAGUGGGGAAUAUUGGACAAUGGGCGAAAGCCUGAUACAGCAAGGCCGCGUGUAUGAAGAAGGCCUUCGGGUGGUAAAGUCCGUUCAGCGGGGAGGCGUUACCCGCAUAAGAAGCACCGGCUAACUCCGUGCCAGCAGCCGCGGUAAUAC
rnacentral:rRNA from 1 species